rnacentral:rRNA from 1 species
UACAGAGGGGCGAGCGUUAUUCGGAAUUAUUGGGCGUAAAGGGCUCGUAGGCGGCCAACUAAGUCAGACGUGAAAUCCCCAGGCUCAACCUGGGAACUGCGUCUGAUACUGGAUGGCUUGAAUCCGGGAGAGGGAUGCAGAAUUCCAGGUGUAGCGGUGAAAUGCGUAGAUAUCUGGAGGAAUACCGGUGGCGAAGGCGGCAUCCUGGACCGGCAUUGACGCUGAGGAGCGAAAGCUAGGGGAGCAAACGGG